AACGUAGGACGCAAGCGUUAUUCGGAAUUACUGGGCGUAAAGGGUUCGUAGGUGGCUUGUUAAGUCAGACGUGAAAUCCCUCGGCUCAACCGGGGAACUGCGUCUGAGACUGAUGAGCUCGAGUGCAGGAGAGGAACGCGGAAUUCCAGGUGUAGCGGUGAAAUGCGUAGAUAUCUGGAGGAACACCGGUGGCGAAGGCGGCGUUCUGGACUGCAACUGACACUGAGGAACGAAAGCCAGGGGAGCAAACGGG
rnacentral:rRNA from 1 species